GUGAGGAGGAAGAAACCUGAGCACCAGGGUCACGCCCCUUCACUCGCGGGGCUUGGACCGCCGGAGGGGAGGAGGCGGAGUCUUCUCGGGAGUCCCAAGCUCCGAGUAAGCCCCUCUGGACUGGAGGUCCCUCGGGCACCAGGAUGCCCCUUCCCCUCUCCCCGACAGCCGAUCCCACCUUCAAGGGCUCUGGCUCCAAUCCCGCAGAACUCCCCACUUCAGCAGCCUUAUUGGAGUCUCCACCGCCAAAGCCACCUCCUAGCACCCAACCACCCCUCGCCGCUGUCGCCCUCCAACAGACACCCGGCUUCCAGGCAUGGCGCCCCAACACCCCCCAUCUCCUUGGCCCCCUAUUCCGAUCCCUGCUUGACAUGACUUAAUGGCGGGGCCGUUGGCACCCCACCUCCCAGCGUUCACUAUCCCAUCCCGCCUCAAGGGUCCUUGUAGCAGAAGGAAGAAACCGUUGAGGCCAGAAGCCAGCAGAGGGUGGGAGCAAGGUGCUUUCCAGCUCUGAAAUUCCAUGUUUCUCAUUACGUAAGUAUAUCCAGCUCCUCUCCAAGUUGAGACCAUCUCAGGCCAAGCCACCAUCACCUCUUGCCUAGACACUGCAACUGCCUCCAAACCAAUCUCCCUGCUUCCCUGCUUGUCCUUCUAAAAUCUGUUCUCCGGAAGUGACUUUUUUUUUCCCCAAAUAAACUUAAAUCUUGUCACUUCCUCUUUAAAAUCCUUAAAACUUCCAAUGGCACACUUUCGCUCCUAUUGCUGCACUGGAUUUGGCAAAUAAAUGCCACACUGGCUUACCAGACUCUGUGCGUCAGCCACACUUCCUGAACCGUGCUAUGUGCCUUCCCACAACAGUGCCUUUGCACUCUGUUCUCUAUGCCUGGGUGCUCGUCUCCAUCUACCCCACCCAACCUCCCUCUACCUUGCUAACCGACUCAUCCUUCAGUUCAGCUCUCAGCUCAAAUAUUACUUCUCCUGGGAAGCCUGGCCUGACUACCCCAUCCCAGGCUGAGUCAGAUCACCUGCUGAAUGCUCUCACCGCUACAUGUACUUUACUUUCAAAGCUCUUAUCAUGGUUAGAAACUAUUUACCUUGUGUGAUUAUUUACUCAGUGUCAGUCUCCCCA